rnacentral:rRNA from 1 species
UCAGCGGCGGACGGGUGAGUAACACGUGGGCAACCUGCCUGUGAGACUGGGAUAACUUCGGGAAACCGGAGCUAAUACCGGAUAAUAUAAGGAACCUCCUGGUUCUUUAUUGAAAGAUGGUUUCGGCUAUCACUCACAGAUGGGCCCGCGGCGCAUUAGCUAGUUGGUGAGGUAACGGCUCACCAAGGCGACGAUGCGUAGCCGACCUGAGAGGGUGAUCGGCCACACUGGGACUGAGACACGGCCCAGACUCCUACGGGAGGCAGCAGUAGGGAAUCUUCCACAAUGGACGAAAGUCUGAUGGAGCAACGCCGCGUGAGCGAUGAAGGCCUUCGGGUCGUAAAGCUCUGUUGUUAGGGAAGAACAAGUGCGAGAGUAACUGCUCGCACCUUGACGGUACCUAACCAGAAAGCCACGGCUAACUACGUGCCAGCAGCCGCGGUAAUACGUAGGUGGCAAGCGUUGUCCGGAAUUAUUGGGCGUAAAGCGCGCGCAGGUGGUCCUUUAAGUCUGAUGUGAAAGCCCACGGCUCAACCGUGGAGGGUCAUUGGAAACUGGGGGACUUGAGUGC